GACGAACGCUGGCGGCGUGGAUUAGGCAUGCAAGUCGAACGGUAUCAUCCUUUCGGGGGUGAGAGAGUGGCGAACUGGUGAGUAACACGUAGGUUAUCUACCCUCAAGACGGGGACAACCCAGGGAAACUUGGGCUAAUACCGGAUGUGAGCAACUUUUAGUUGUUUGAAAGGUGGCGUAAGCUGUCGCUUGGGGAUGAGCCUGCUUCCUAUUAGUUAGUUGGUGAGGUAACGGCUCACCUAGGCAAUGAUAGGUAGGCGGCCUUAACGGGUGGUCGCCCACACUGGGAUUGAGAUACGGCCCAGACUCCUACGGGAGGCAGCAGUCGAGAAUAGUCUACAAUGGUCGGAAGACUGAUAGUGCGACGCCGCGUGAACGAUGAAUCCCUUCGGGGUGUAAAGUUCUUUUAUAUGUGAGCAGUGCUUCUUAUAUUAACAGUAUGGGGAGAGAGAUAUUAGCAUAUGAAUAAGCAACGGCUAACUCCGUGCCAGCAGCCGCGGUAAUCU
rnacentral:rRNA from 1 species